rnacentral:rRNA from 1 species
AACGAACGCUGGCGGCAGGCCUAACACAUGCAAGUCGAGCGGUCCUUCGGGACAGCGGCGGACGGGUUAGUAACGCGUGGGAACGUGCCCUUUAGUACGGAAUAGCCAUUGGAAACGAUGAUUAAUACCGUAUACGCCCUUCGGGGAAAGAUUAUCGCUAAAGGAUCGGCCCGCGUUAGAUUAGGUAGUUGGUGGGGUAAUGGCCUACCAAGCCUACGAUCUAUAGCCGGUUUGAGAGGAUGAUCAGCAACACUGGACUGAGACACGGCCCACGACUCCUACGGGAGGCAGCAGUGGGG